rnacentral:rRNA from 1 species
GCAGUCGACGGAGCUAGAGAGCUUGCUUUUUAAGCUUAGUGGCGAACGGGUGAGUAACGCGUGAGUAACCUGCCCUAGAGUGGGGGACAACAGUUGGAAACGACUGCUAAUACCGCAUAAGCCCACGGUACCGCAUGGUGCUGAGGGAAAAGGAUUUAUUCGCUUUAGGAUGGACUCGCGUCCAAUUAGCUAGUUGGUGAGGUAACGGCCCACCAAGGCGACGAUUGGUAGCCGGACUGAGAGGUUGAACGGCCACAUUGGGACUGAGACACGGCCCAGACUCCUACGGGAGGCAGCAGUGGGGGAUAUUGCACAAUGGGGGAAACCCUGAUGCAGCGACGCCGCGUGGAGGAAGAAGGUUUUCGGAUUGUAAACUCCUGUCGUUAGGGACGAUAAUGACGGUACCUAACAAGAAAGCACCGGCUAACUACGUGCCAGCAGCCGCGGUAAAACGUAGGGUGCAAGCGUUGUCCGGAAUUACUGGGUGUAAAGGGAGCGCAGGCGGGAAGACAAGUUGGAAGUGAAAACCAUGGGCUCAACCCAUGAAUUGCUUUCAAAACUGUUUUUCUUGAGUAGUGCAGAGGUAGAUGGAAUUCCCGGUGUAGCGGUGGAAUGCGUAGAUAUCGGGAGGAACACCAGUGGCGAAGGCGGUCUACUGGGCACCAACUGACGCUGAGGCUCGAAAGCAUGGGUAGCAAACAGGAUUAGAUACCCUGGUAGUCCAUGCCGUAAACGAUGAUUACUAGGUGUUGGGGGAUUGACCCCCUCAGUGCCGCAGUUAACACAAUAAGUAA